GAUGAACGCUAGCGGCAGGCCUAACACAUGCAAGUCGAGGGGGAAGUUACUUUCGGGUGACUGAGACCGGCGUACGGGUGCGUAACGCGUAUACAAUCUGCCUUUCACUGGGGGAUAGCCCGAAGAAAUUUGGAUUAAUACCCCAUAGUAUAUAGGGACGGCAUCGUUUUUAUAUUAAAGCUUAGGUGGUGAAUGAUGAGUAUGCGUUCUAUUAGCUAGUUGGAGAGGUAACGGCUCCCCAAGGCGAUGAUAGAUAGGGGUUCUGCGAGGGAUGUCCCCCACACUGGUACUGAGAUACGGACCAGACUCCUACGGGAGGCAGCAGUGAGGAAUAUUGGACAAUGGUCGGAAGACUGAUCCAGCCAUGCCGCGUGCAGGAUGAAGGUCUUAUGGAUUGUAAACUGCUUUUGUAAGGGAAGAAUAAGGGCUACGCGUAGUUUGAUGACGGUACCUUACGAAUAAGCAUCGGCUAACUCCGUG
rnacentral:rRNA from 1 species